ACAGGAGCAAGUGAAGCAGCAUCCCCCACCCCCCCACACAUACUCUAUCUAUGUACACUGCUGAGCAGGCAAGUAAUUUUUAUUGUUGUUGUGUAUGGGUCGCCGGUGGCUAUUGAAUCUUGUCGGACUGGCUGUGCGCCUCCGAGGGGGCAACAUUAUGGCCUAAGUCGGAGGGGCGGCUCUGUCUUCGUCUGCGCCCCAGAGUCCCAGGCGAGUCCCACAGCGAGAGCGAAUCGAAUAGACUCAUAGAAGAGCUGGCCAAAGAGAGAGAGAGCGAGCAGAGCAGGCAACAUUUCCGAACAAGAAAAUGAAAAACGAAACUGCAACAAGUGAA
rnacentral:lncRNA from 1 species